UGAUAUCAUAUAAAGGCACACCAUCGACAAUAACUAAGUCCGCAGUUAACCACGCACACGUGGGCGCACGCGCACGCGCAGCCCCAGAAAGACCUUAAGGAAGGUAACCAGCGACAGACAAGACAAGGAAGUCUCUGGCCUCGAAGGUGACAGCCUGGCCCGGGACGGGGACGUUGUCGUCGUCUGCUGGAGUGUAAGAGAAGUUGCAACGUACGGCGAAUGCAACAGGCUUGUACUGGAUACACAAGACAGAUGUGGUCACGUCCUUGAGAGCAACCUCUCUGAAAAAUGAGGAGGUCGGGUUCGCGCUGAGACCACGACGCAGCGGUGAGACGGUACCUUGGCCUUCUCCAGCUGCACCUGGGCGUUUCUUUCCUCGACGACAUCCGAAUCCUGACGCUCUCCCUGCAGGGGGGAGACAGAGCGAUGAGAGUUUAAUCACUCCAGCUGGUUCAGUGUGUUGGAGACUGUCUCUGUACUACCUCGAUCAUCAAUCAUUUUUGCUAAA